rnacentral:rRNA from 1 species
GUACACUCCUGCGGGAGGCAGCAGUGGGGAAUAUUGCACAAUGGGCGCAAGCCUGAUGCAGCCAUGCCGCGUGUAUGAAGAAGGCCUUCGGGUUGUAAAGUACUUUCAGCGGGGAGGAAGGCAAUACGGUUAAUAACCGUGUUGAUUGACGUUACCCGCAGAAGAAGCACCGGCUAACUCCGUGCCAGCAGCCGCGGUAAUACGGAGGGUGCAAGCGUUAAUCGGAAUUACUGGGCGUAAAGCGCACGCAGGCGGUCUGUCAAGUCGGAUGUGAAAUCCCCGGGCUCAACCUGGGAACUGCAUUCGAAACUGGCAGGCUUGAGUCUUGUAGAGGGGGGUAGAAUUCCAGGUGUAGCGGUGAAAUGCGUAGAGAUCUGGAGGAAUACCGGUGGCGAAGGCGGCCCCCUGGACAAAGACUGACGCUCAGGUGCGAAAGCGUGGGGAGCAAACAGGAUUAGAAACCCCUGUAGUCCCAU